rnacentral:rRNA from 1 species
GAUGAACGCUGGCGGCGUGCCUAAUACAUGCAAGUCGAGCGAACAGACGAGGAGCUUGCUCCUCUGACGUUAGCGGCGGACGGGUGAGUAACACGUGGAUAACCUACCUGUAAGACUGGGAUAACUUCGGGAAACCGGAGCUAAUACCGGAUAAUAUAUUGAACCGCAUGGUUCAAUAGUGAAAGACGGUUUUGCUGUCACUUAUAGAUGGAUCCGCGCCGCAUUAGCUAGUUGGUAAGGUAACGGCUUACCAAGGCAACGAUGCGUAGCCGACCUGAGAGGGUGAUCGGCCACACUGGAACUGAGACACGGUCCAGACUCCUACUGGAGGCAGCAGUAGGGAAUCUUCCGCAAUGGGCGAAAGCCUGACGGAGCAACGCCGCGUGAGUGAUGAAGGUCUUCGGAUCGUAAAACUCUGUUAUUAGGGAAGAACAAAUGUGUAAGUAACUAUGCACGUCUUGACGGUACCUAAUCAGAAAGCCACGGCUAACUACGUG